rnacentral:rRNA from 1 species
AGAGUUUGAUCAUGGCUCAGAUUGAACGCUGGCGGCAGGCCUAACACAUGCAAGUCGAACGGUAACAGGAAGCAGCUUGCUGCUUCGCUGACGAGUGGCGGACGGGUGAGUAAUGUCUGGGAAACUGCCUGAUGGAGGGGGAUAACUACUGGAAACGGUAGCUAAUACCGCAUAACGUCGCAAGACCAAAGAGGGGGACCUUCGGGCCUCUUGCCAUCAGAUGUGCCCAGAUGGGAUUAGCUUGUUGGUGGGGUAACGGCUCACCAAGGCGACGAUCCCUAGCUGGUCUGAGAGGAUGACCAGCCACACUGGAACUGAGACACGGUCCAGACUCCUACGGGAGGCAGCAGUGGGGAAUAUUGCACAAUGGGCGCAAGCCUGAUGCAGCCAUGCCGCGUGUAUGAAGAAGGCCUUCGGGUUGUAAAGUACUUUCAGCGGGGAGGAAGGUGUUGUGGUUAAUAACCGCAGCAAUUGACGUUACCCGCAGAAGAAGCACCGGCUAACUCCGUGCCAGCAGCCCGCGGUAAUACGGAGGGUGCAAGCGUUAAUCGGAAUUACUGGGCGUAAAGCGCACGCAGGCGGUCUGUUAAGUCAGAUGUGAAAUCCCCGGGCUCAACCUGGGAACUGCAUCUGAUACUGGCAGGCUUGAGUCUCGUAGAGGGGGGUAGAAUUCCAGGUGUAGCGGUGAAAUGCGUAGAGAUCUGGAGGAAUACCGGUGGCGAAGGCGGCCCCCUGGACGAAGACUGACGCUCAGGUGCGAAAGCGUGGGGAGCAAACAGGAUUAGAUACCCUGGUAGUCCACGCCGUAAACGAUGUCGACUUGGAGGUUGUGCCCUUGAGGCGUGGCUUCCGGAGCUAACGCGUUAAGUCGACCGCCUGGGGAGUACGGCCGCAAGGUUAAAACUCAAAUGAAUUGACGGGGGCCCGCACAAGCGGUGGAGCAUGUGGUUUAAUUCGAUGCAACGCGAAGAACCUUACCUGGUCUUGACAUCCACGGAAGUUUUCAGAGAUGAGAAUGUGCCUUCGGGAGCCGUGAGACAGGUGCUGCAUGGCUGUCGUCAGCUCGUGUUGUGAAAUGUUGGGUUAAGUCCCGCAACGAGCGCAACCCUUAUCCUUUGUUGCCAGCGGUUAGGCCGGGAACUCAAAGGAGACUGCCAGUGAUAAACUGGAGGAAGGUGGGGAUGACGUCAAGUCAUCAUGGCCCUUACGACCAGGGCUACACACGUGCUACAAUGGCAUAUACAAAGAGAAGCGACCUCGCGAGAGCAAGCGGACCUCAUAAAGUAUGUCGUAGUCCGGAUUGGAGUCUGCAACUCGACUCCAUGAAGUCGGAAUCGCUAGUAAUCGUGGAUCAGAAUGCCACGGUGAAUACGUUCCCGGGCCUUGUACACACCGCCCGUCACACCAUGGGAGUGGGUUGCAAAAGAAGUAGGUAGCUUAACCUUCGGGAGGGCGCUUACCACUUUGUGAUUCAUGACUGGGGUGAAGUCGUAACAAGGUAACCGUAGGGGAACCUGCGGUUGGAUCACCU